UACGUAGGUGGCAAGCGUUGUCCGGAAUUAUUGGGCGUAAAGCGCGCGCAGGCGGUCCUUUAAGACUGAUGUGAAAGCCCACGGCUCAACCGUGGAGGGUCAUUGGAAACUGGGGGACUUGAGUGCAGGAGAGAAGAGUGGAAUUCCACGUGUAGCGGUGAAAUGCGUAGAGAUGUGGAGGAACACCAGUGGCGAAGGCGACUCUUUGGCCUGUAACUGACGCUGAGGCGCGAAAGCGUGGGGAGCAAACAGG
rnacentral:rRNA from 1 species